ensembl:snoRNA
GGUAUUUGUGUGUCUGUUUUUGUCUAACUUAUGGACUAACACUUACGGUCAGGUGCAAAACAUAAAUCCUCUUAUUGCAACCCAGAACGUAUUGUUCAGUACGGGUUUUGAUACCUAUAGGAAGGAAUAUU